ensembl:lncRNA
CCAGAGAACGAACUGUGUGAACCAGUACUUACUGUGAGCUGCAAUCAGCGAAGAGCCGUUGCCUGUGGAGGAAGAGAAAGAGAGUGAGCACCCCGAGAACGAACUGUGUGAACCAGUACUUACCGUGAGCUGUAUUCAGCGAAGAGGAGGAAGAAGGAGGGCGCUACGGAUACCUAAGACUCAGGCCGGGGCCCGAGUCCCACGCCCCGGAUCCCCGUGGCCCCCUUGCUCCCUGACCUCUUCCCGGCCAUAGCCCAUCUGGAGGGCCGAGUCAGAGUUUAGUUUUAAUUGCCCUUUCCCUAUUCCCCAAGCUAUUUUUAAAUAUUUAAAUAAAGAUUGUUUUAUCACUUACUUGUUCUCGUGU